ensembl:lncRNA
AUGGUUCCUACCAAUUUAACUCACCUGCAGUUCCAUCUGUUGCACUGGAGGAAUCUACCUGAGCUCUUGGUCCAAAAUACUUCAGGAAAGAAUCUGGGCAGAUUUAAUGAAAUGGUUACAGAUUCAGCAUAAGCACAUCACCGGUAAAAAAGUGUUAAGAAUAAUAAUAUACUAAUAAGUCCGUUGCCUGCCGCGAAUGUUCGGGGCAACAAACUGUUGAACAAUUUUUGCUUCUUUUCACACAGCCAACCCUCAGUGUGAACUACUUUGCUAAAUGCAUCCUGGAUGCCAUAAUGGUGAUUUAAUAACACCAGUAGCCUUUAUUAAUACAUUUUCAUUUUAAUUUACUUAGAAAAAUUAUACUUUCAUUGAGGUCAGAUGAUGUGGAACGAAAUUCAGGAAGUAAAAUAGGCAGUCAGCUAUAUAAAUUGAAGAUAACUUCAGGAAACUACUACCUGAGUAAUAUUUGUGUAAAUUAUACAGGUGACUAGCGGGCUGCUGGCAUGCCUACAAUUACAUAACAGGAUAUUUUGAAUGUCUCCCGGAGGUUCAGAUUGUUACAUUUCUAUAGACAACCAUCUGAACAGUCGAGAAUUGCCUGUCUACAGCUUCCACUUCAUUGCCAACUACAAGCCAAAACGAAUGAAAUAACAUUGCAAUUAAAACCCAGAAAAAUACUACCUUUAGCUAUAAGCUUUUUUUUUCUACUUCUUUAAUUUUUCUCAAUUCAGUUUACUUUUAUAGAGCACUACAGAGCACCGAGGUGCAAUUUCACCCUCUUAUCUCUUCUCCUCUCCUUACAGGUAGGUUCCUUUUGGUGACGUGGUUGGAAUUCACCGAUUUGGACUCAUUCCGUUAUGAGCGAACUCAACCGAGCAACUAUCUUGUUAGGGGACCCCAGCGGCCAAAGGGGCCAAAGCAGCCACUUGUGUCGCUCUUCAGGUGGGCUAUGAUCAGAUCUAUUACGCAUAAUGAGUGGACCAUUUCCAUUUCAUCUGUGGGUCUGGAGGGCUAUUUAUUUAACAUACUCCCCAAGGUAAAGUAAUUCCAAAUGUGUCUUUGUAUCUACAGAGCCCAGAACAGCGCUGGCCUCAUUGCCUCUUUUUUCAUUUAAAAUAUGCUUUUUUUUCUCUCCCUCAAAAGAAUGUCUCUUUCACUACUAUAAAAUCUUAUUCGCUAUCAAAUUAAAUCUUUGAGUGCUUGGGAAAACUUUUCCCCUGUUUUUUUUAUUCUUAUUUUAAUGAUUCCUUCUGCAUACAUAUUCAUAUCUUAC